rnacentral:lncRNA from 1 species
AGCGCGCCCGGAGUGAUCCGGCUGCGGGCCAGGGUCUGGGAAGGGGGUGGUGGGUCGCCGUUUCAUCAGAAGCCGGAGGACGGGCGCCAGGGGGCAACUUCCUACAGGAGGGCGUCCCGUUAGAAUGACAGGGCUUUUGCAAAAGUCUGACACCCGUGGCACAGAGCGCCCCAGAUAUGGAGGGUUUCACAGGCUCAUGUGUGGCUUCUUCAGUCCUCUCUUCAUUCACUCAUGUAUUCAUUUAUUCAACGACAUAUUACUAAGGAACCUCCUUAAGCCGGGAUGCUGAACGUGGAAAAAUAGGUGAAAUAUAAUUUUACCCCUGAGAAGCUCAUAGGCUAAAAAAAAUAUUGAUUUGGGAUAAAUGUAUGUUAAGUUGACUCUUGAACAAUGUGGGGGCUUGGGGCACCAACCCCCUGUGCAGUUGAAAAUCGACAUAUAACUUUGACUCGCCAAAAACUUCACUACAAUAGCCUGCUGCCAACCUGAAGUCUUACCAAUAACAUCAACAGUCAAUUAAACAUAUUACUAGGCUGAAAAGGAGAAGGAAGUGAAGGGGUUGGUCUUGCCGUCUCACGAGUGGCAGAGGCAGGAGAAAAUCCAAAUGUAAGUGGACCUAUGCAGUUCAAACCCAAGUUGUUCAAAGUCAUUGUAUUAGUAUUAGACAUUGUGGAAAAUACAGAAAAAUAUAAAGAUGAAAAUAGAAUUAGUGCUACCCAAUGAUAACUAUCAAUAUAAUUCACUGUAUUUUCUUCAGUUUAGUCUGUGCAUAAACAUUAUAUUAUCUGAAUCAUAGUGUGUAUAUAUAGUUUAAUAUCUUGAUUUUUAUUCAUGACUGUUUCUCACUUUGAGUAUAUUAGUAUUAUAGUUUUCCUGACAUAUGCUUUUUAAUGGCUGCAUAAUAUUCUUUCACAUAGAGAGAUCAUAAUUUAUUUAACUAUUUUCUUAUUGUGGGACACUUAGAUUUUUCUUCCCAAAUUUUCUUUAUUGUAAAUAUGUUAGGUUGGUGCAAAAGCAAUUGCUGUUUUUGCCAUUAAAGGCAACAGCAAAAACCAAAAUUACUUUUGCACCAAACUAGUGCUUCAAUAAGCAUCUUCAUAUUUAAAUUUUGUCCACAUUCCUGCCUAUUUCCUACAGAGUAUAGAUGUUCUUCAGGCUGGAUGCAUAUUGCCAGAUUUGAAUACUAACCUUUUAGGAAGGUUAGUAUUGACCUUUCAUUCUUGCUACUGGGGAAAAUUAAGUUAAAUAAUCUCAAUAAGGUCUUGGUUUGUGGACUUGGGGAAAAUUAUAGCUCAUCUUGCAAAAUAGCCAUAUGAGAAUUUUUACGAAUGAAUCAUUUACUGUAUGCCUGGGUAAAAAUAGCGGCACACCUUAUCUAGUGCUUUAGCUUUGAAUCUCAAAGUACACAGCCAAUUUGUAUUAUGAAUAAGGACUUCAUAACCCAUAUUGUCGACUUAAAUGGUAUUAAGUGGUGGCUGGUCAGGGAGAAGGUGGAGAGGCUAGAAACCAGGGAAUACCACCUUGCCAAAGGCUUAAAUACCAUUAGGCAGAACCAGUAUAUAUUUAUAUUCUUUGCUUAUUCAUCCUCUGUUCAUGACUAGUGUGGUCAUAAAUUAUAUUUAAACCUGUAACUUUAUAUACAUAUAAUGCAAGGCAUAGCAACAUUGCAUGCAGAAUUUCAUGACAAGUGGCCUGCAUUUUUGUGAGGAAAAAAAAAUAUGUCAAGCUGCUUUUAGGACUGUAACUAACCACUUGGCUAUUGCAUGCCUUGUGCCUUAGGUCUGGGAUGUUUCUCUUGCAUGCCUCUGGAAUCAAAUGACUCUGAUACUGCAAGCACUUCAGAGUAUGUAUAAGCAAUUUCAGCUGGUUCCGUCCUGAUAUUUACAAAACUGCCUGGAUCAUACUUACAACCAUGCAAUGAUAUAUAUUUCUAUUAAGAAAGCAACGAUUUGCUUGAAAGAUGAAGGAAAACAAACUAAGUAUUUAUGUACAAUGAGUCCUAAGUGUACACCACUAUGUUUUCCAUCAGCUUUUGAUUUUCUGUCACUCCUCUUUUUCUUUGAAAUUUAGAGUCAGAAGUGAACUGACUUCAUGGUUUUCCUCAUGAUUAUUUGAUAUCCUCUAGGGAAUCAUGACUUAAAGACUGCAUUCUUCCUUCUCAAAACUCAUGUUAAAGAUUUCUCCAUGCAGAGCCACAGGCUAUUUUGGAGUUUGAAAUGGAGCAGUUAAAACUAGGAGGUCACACACGUUGAGAUUAUUCCUUCACUGCAUCUCGCCCGGCUUGUGUGCCUGAGGAGACACGCAUCUCAGAGGGCAGAGGGGCAGCCGUUGUCUAGUGAGGUUAUUUCACCUACUAUAUAAUAAAAUGUACAGGACAAUAGCGCA